rnacentral:rRNA from 1 species
GAUGAACGCUGGCGGCGUGCCUAAUACAUGCAAGUCGAGCGAACGGACGAGAAGCUUGCUUCUCUGAUGUUAGCGGCGGACGGGUGAGUAACACGUGGAUAACCUACCUAUAAUACUGGGAUAACUUCGGGAAACCGUAGCUAAUACCGGAUAAUAUUUUGAACCGCAUGGUUCAAAAGUGAAAGACGGUCUUGCUGUCACUUAUAGAUGGAUCCGCGCUUCAUUAGCUAGUUGGUAAGGUAACGGCUUACCAAGGCAACGAUGCAUAGCCGACCUGAGAGGGUGAACGGCCAAAAUGGAAGUGAGAAACGGACCAGACAACUAAGGGAGGAAGCAGAAGGGAAUAUUCCGAAAUGGGCGAAAGAAUGAAGGAGCAAAGACGCGUGAGAGAUGAAGGUCUUAGGAUCGUAAAACUCUGUUAUGAGGGAAGAACAUAUGUGUAAGUAACUGUGCACAUAGUGACGGUACCUAAUAAGAAAGGAACGGCUAACUACGUG